GGCCGCAGUAUAUUAACUGUGCAAAGGUAGCAUAAUCAUUAGUCUUUUAAUUGAAGGCUGGUAUGAAUGGUUGGACAAAAUAUUAACUGUUUCAUGUUAAUUUAUAAUAGAAUUUUAUUUUUUAGUUAAAAAGCUAAAAUGAAUUUAAAAGACGAGAAGACCCUAUAAAUCUUUAUAUUUAAAUUAUAAUAAUUUCUUAUAAAUGUUUAAUUAUUAUAAUUAAUAAUAUUUUAUUGGGGUGAUAUUAAAAUUUAAUAAACUUUUAAUUAAUAAUUUCAUUAAUUUAUGAAUAAUUGAUCCAUUAGUAAUGAUUAAAAAAAUAAGUUACUUUAGGGAUAACAGCGUAAUUUUUUUGGAGAGUUCAUAUUAAUAAAAAAGAUUGCGACCUCGAUGUUGGAUU
rnacentral:rRNA from 1 species